UACGGAGGGGGCUAGCGUUGUUCGGAAUCACUAGGCGUAAAGCGCUCGUAGGCGGAUUGGUCAGUCAGAGGUGAAAUCCCAAGGCUCAACCUUGGAACUGCCUUUGAUACUGCCAGUCUUGAGGUCGAGAGAGGUAAGUGGAAUUCCUAGUGUAGAGGUGAAAUUCGUAGAUAUUAGGAAGAACACCAGUGGCGAAGGCGACUUACUGGCUCGAUUCUGACGCUGAGGAGCGAAAGCGUGGGGAGCAAACAGGAUUAGAAACCCUAGUAGUCC
rnacentral:rRNA from 1 species